UACGUAGGGGGCAAGCGUUGUCCGGAAUCAUUGGGCGUAAAGAGCGCGUAGGCGGUCCGGUAAGUCCGCUGUGAAAGUCGAGGGCUCAACCCUCGAAUGCCGGUGGAUACUGUCGGGCUAGAGUGCGGAAGAGGCGAGUGGAAUUCCUGGUGUAGCGGUGAAAUGCGCAGAUAUCAGGAGGAACACCUAUUGCGAAGGCAGCUCGCUGGGACGCAACUGACGCUGAGACGCGAAAGCGUGGGGAGCAAACAGG
rnacentral:rRNA from 1 species